AGGAAUUGGGAAAGGGAAAUUAACUGCAAUAACAACCGAAAAAGGCCCUGCCUUCGUCCCUGCUUCGGGGUCCCAAUUACAAAGCCAAAGCUACGAAUGAAUUGUCCAGCGGAAAAGUUGAAAGUCAGAAGAGGAAAGCGACGUCUAGCACCUGGGAAAGAGAAAACUAAAGCUCCUGUUUUUGAUUCAAUGUCAAUCUAGCUAUCUAAUUUGCUGCCGAAGAGAAAACCAAAAAGAAACGACGGAAAGCGUAAGAAGAGAAAAAAGCGUCCGACCGCUGACAGACGUAGGAAAAGAAAACUAAGCCUAAAAAAAUAGAUUCCCCCAAUCUUGCUUUGUCCUUUUCUUUUUAUAGCCGCCGUCCAAGAAGAGUCAAAAAAAGAAACGUCUGGUGCAAAGCCUAGUGUUGUCUCCAGAGUUCUGAUCCCACGCUCCGGGUUCACGUGGACCACGGUCCGUCUUUCGGUUUCGUCCACCUUCCAAGGCGUGGCCACGCCCUGGAACGGCAAGUCUUCUGGAAAUUCACCCCGCGAGAUCAUUUUUCAUGCCUACCACCUACAAUUCACACAAAUAUCGAAUAUGAGUGAAAUUCCAAUUCUUAGUACCGUGAAUAGCCAAAAUUAGGACAAGAUAGUAGUGCAAAAUACGCCAAAUAACCGUUCUAUCAGGAACCAAGAAAGAAUCAAACUAAAACUCUGCUAAAAGCUAAGUUAAAAACUCUUGAUAAGAGUUCUCUGGACGUCUGUUUCUUUUUUAAAGCCAAAGAUGACUAAUGCUAUCUAGUCCCGUGGUCCCCGCAGAAAUUGAGAGUCCAACUCUAGAAGAAAAGCUAGCCGACUAAGAGAAAAAAGAUACAAAGAGGUGGGGCCUGCCGAAUUGCUUAUUGUGUUCUAUUGAUAGUAGGACUUCUCGUAUGAGUUCUCCUCAUCAGCACAAAGGUAGGAAAUUAGUUUUGUUCUCUCCUUGUGGGCCAGGUCGAUGGAGAUUUUUUUGAAGUCUCCAACUUAUGGAAUAAGUCUCUUCUUUUUGUAGUUUUCUGCUCCAUUCCCUGAAAUUAAAUCCAAAUACUAAAUAUAAGUAAAUAUUAACAAUUAAAACAAUAUUUGACAGGAAUAAAAGGGAAAAUUAGUAAUAAAAUUGCUAACAAAUAAUACCCUAUCAAUUCCCCCCACACCUGAAUUGCCCUCAAGCAUAGGAACAACAAUUGAACACCAAAAAUUCGACAAUAGCUAUUGCUCCAACUACCAUAUUGCCAAGAUACCAUGAAAACACAUAUCAAGCAUCAAUUGUCAAAAUCCAAGAGACAUCUCCUCGGUUAGUUUCCAAACCGCAGACUCUUCUAAUUUAUGGCUAACUAUUCUAAGAAAAAAAAAAUGGUCGAUCAACAUUUAUCAGCAAAUGGUCCAACUAUUAACCAAAUUCUCAACAUAAAACCCAUAGAUCAGACGGCUAACUUUAUACACACACUUACACAACCUUCACCUUUUUUAUCACGUUUUUCUAUUUUUCUCUUUUUUUUUUCUUUUUUUUCAGAAUAGCAAAAGACUUAAUCUCUAGCCAUUAGAGCCUUUUGACGCGAACUCCAACAUUUGCCAGAUGAAGGAGCCCGGUUACUCAGUUUCGAUCGCUAUGCGACCACACACUCAUAGCAAUUAUUACCUUUUGACGCGAGAAUCGACACUUUAGGUGAAGAUCCCCGGUUACUCAGUAGUAAUAACUAGCGGAGUACAGUUAACUCUUAUUUACAACCAUAUAGCACAAUAACUAAAAAUAACACAAAAAUAACAGCAGCCAGCCUCAAAUUUCCAAACAUGGAGAACUAAAAUUAAUAACUGGACCAAUUCACAUGAAAAAUGCCAAUAAUCAUUCCCUAUACCUAGAAAAGUUAACCAAAAAUUGGAAAAGUUAAGCAAUUAUUGAUAUUCACCAAAGAGAUGUUCCUGAACUUAACCACAUCAACUUGAUACCCUUUUAUUACUAAAACUUGGCAAUGGCAGAAUUAGAGACAACAAUCCAGCAUCAAAACUUGGUAUUCAUAUAAAAACUGAUCACUAGAAAGAAAAAGAAAAGAAAAUAAAUGAAAGAUAGGCAAAAACUAACUAAAAAUAAAGGAAAAGCCCCUAGAAACUAAAAACAAAAAUACUAGCACCACAACGAUCCCCCCCACACCUAAUUCACACAUUGCCCUCAAUGUGAUAAUGUAAAAGCAGAAGGAAGGAGAGGGGCAACGGUACUUCCCUGAAGUCAUCAAAAUAGGGGCGGUUCAGGUGGAAAUUGUGGAUCAACUCGCAUCUAGAGUUGGUGCCAUUCGUGGUUUCACCAUGGACUCUAGAUAUCACUCUAAGCAACAAUAGACUACAAUUGCCAACAAAUAAUGGAAGCUGGAAAUUCAAAGCAAUAACAAUUUUAAAACCAACCCAACGAACAAAAUGCACAAUUUAAUCACCCAGAGGACAUACAAAUACCCCAACACUUAUAGCAAAUGCAAUUGAUAAGCACUUGUGGUCCCAAUUCAGUCAGAUGUAGAAACAAAGCAGUCCGAAUGUGCAACAACUGCUCCAAAGACUUGAGUAAUUAAAAUUGAUGGGCAGAUUACUCCAAGCAAGUCAAUUAAUCCAAGCAAGUCAAUUAGAUGCAACAAAUGAGCAAUAGGCAACGGAAGUGUCACAGUAGCUUCCCAAAUCAACAAACAACCACAGAAAGUAGCUGCCCACACUAUCAGAACACGGCUCCCAACAAUGCAACAAAAUAAUCAAUAAUCACAGGAAGCCCCACUAUUGUAAGAACCAGCAAAAACAAUUCAAUAAGCAAUGAUGUCCGCAAAUGCAGACAAAUACCAAACCUUUCCACACAAAUUCUCAGUAAAUGCCUCCAAAGGUGUAGUUGGCCGCAAAACGCGCACCCUAAAUUGUGGCAAACGCCCCCAACAAGUCAAUUAAAAGCAACUAAGAGCAAUAACAGAAGUAACCCGACCAAAGGCAUAGCAAUGGUCUCAAGACAGAAAGCAACAAAAUAGAGCUCAAGUGCUACCAUAGACGACCUCAACAAAGUAAUGGAUUCAAGCAAUUUGAAUGAGGAGAAUACGGUCAGAGGUCCCCUCAAAUACCAAUUCAAAUAGGCUAACCCAACCCACUAAGAAAUCCAAACAACACUGAACAACACCCCAAUAUCAGUCAAACCUCAUCAAUAGCAAGUAAUCGAAAUAACGGGUUCCACCAAAUAAAUGAAAAACCUGGCACCAGGGUGGGCAAGUGCGGUGGGUGAGAGGGAGCUUGGAGCUUGGAGCUUGGAGUGGUGGCGCGAGUUGGCGGUGCUCGGGGAGUUGAAGCUGAAGUCGCGCGUGAGGGAAAGGCCGCCGUGGCUCGCGGCGUGCGGUGGUGCGAGGUGAGCUAAGCAGCAGCGGUGGACAGCGCCUGAUAGCUCGCGACGGAGGGGUCCAAGGCGGCAGAGUGCGAAGGAGAGCUGGUGGCGAGGAAAGAGGGAGAUAGGACGGGCGGCGGUGAUGGAGGAAGGCGUCGGCCGAAGAAGAAAGGAAAAGGAGAAAAGGGGAAGCGGGGAAGAAGAGGGAGAAAAGGGAAAGAAAGAAAGAAAAGAAAGAAGGA
rnacentral:lncRNA from 1 species